GGGGGCGUAGUUCAAUUGGUAGAGCAUAUGCUUUGCACGCAUAAAGUUAUCGGUUCGAGUCCGUUCGCCUCCA
rnacentral:tRNA from 1 species